CAGGAAGUUACUGCGCCACAUCACACCACGUAAAACCACAAAAUGCCGUUUUUUACCAUCGUUUUUUGUACUGAUUAAACAAACAAGAUAUAAGCAGAUGAAGAUGGAUGGAUGGAUGUAACGUGAGCUUUAGAGGUGUCGCUCCUGCCUAAGCUGCUGCCGCUGCUCCUUCAUCCUGGCCAGCUCCUGGCGGCUCCCCGAGCUGAGGCUGUGCAGCCUCUUGGCCAGAGCCUCCAGCCGGUCCCGCUCCAGGUACACCGCCUUCAUCUCAGCCCUCAGCUCCUUGGCACUGCUGAAGUCAUUACCUGCACCGGUGCACCACAGGAGGACAUUAAGCUUACACCAUCCAUUAAUGAGGGCCUCGAUCAUUAAUAGCGUAAUUAAGUGAGGCUAAUGGUGGGCAAUUCAAGUAAAUGAGGUAAAUAAAAGAUGUGAAAUGUA